CCCCCACAAUGGAACUGAGAAACGGUCCAUACUCCUACGGGAGGCAGCAGUGAGGAAUAUUGCACAAUGGGGGAAACCCUGAUGCAGCAACGCCGCGUGAACGAUGAAGGCCUUCGGGUUGUAAAGUUCUUUUCUGGGGGACGAUAGUGACGGUACCUCAGGAAUAAGUCCCGGCUAACUACGUGCCAGCAGCCGCGGUAAAACGUAGGGGGCGAGCGUUAUCCGGAUUUAUUGGGCGUAAAGCGCAAGUAGGCAGCGUUGUAAGUUGGACGUGAAAGCUCCCGGCUCAACUGGGAGAGGUCGUUCAAAACUACAGUGCUCGAGGUUGGAAGAGGAGAGUAGAAUUCCCGGUGUAGUGGUGGAAUGCGUAGAUAUCGGGAGGAAUACCAGUGGCGAAAGCGACUCUCUGGUCCACACCUGACGCUGAGGUGCGAAAGCGUGGGUAGCGAACGGGAUUAGAUACCCCGGUAGUCCACGCCGUAAACGAUGGAUACUAGGUGUAGGGGGUCACUGAAUCCCUCUGUGCCGUAGCAAACGCGUUAAGUAUCCCGCCUGGGGACUACGGCCGCAAGGUUAAAACUCAAAGGAAUUGACGGGGGCCCGCACAAGCAGCGGAGCGUGUGGUUUAAUUCGAUGAUACGCGAAGAACCUUACCUGGGCUGAACUACGUGGUAGUAGAAAAGCGAAAGCGGAUCGACCCUUCGGGGAGCCUCGAUAGGUGCUGCAUGGCUGUCGUCAGCUCGUGUCGUGAGAUGUUGGGUUAAGUCCCGCAACGAGCGCAACCCUUGUCGUUAGUUAUACGUGUCUAGCGAGACUGCCGGUAUCAAACCGGAGGAAGGUGGGGAUGACGUCAAGUCAGCAUGGUCUUUAUGUCCAGGGCUACACACACGCUACAAUGGCCGGUACAACAGGUUGCUAUACCGCGAGGUGGAGCUAAUCCCUAAAGCCGGUCUCAGUUCGGAUUGCAGUCUGCAACUCGACUGCAUGAAGGUGGAGUUGCUAGUAACCGCGCGUCAGCAAUAGUGCGGUGAAUGCGUUCCCGGGCCUUGUACACACCGCCCGUCACAUCAUGGAAGUCGGUAACACCUGAAGUCGGUGACCUAACCGUAAGGAAGGAGCUGCCUAA
rnacentral:rRNA from 1 species